UGGCGGACGGGCGAGUAACGCGUGGGCAACCUGCCUUACACAGGGGGACAACAGCUGGAAACGGCUGCUAAUACCGCAUAUGCGCACAGGGCCGCAUGGUCUGGUGCGGAAAACUCCGGUGGUGUAAGAUGGGCCCGCGUCUGAUUAGGUAGUUGGCGGGGUAACGGCCCACCAAGCCGACGAUCAGUAGCCGGCCUGAGAGGGUGGACGGCCACAUUGGGACUGAGACACGGCCCAAACUCCUACGGAAGGCAGCAG
rnacentral:rRNA from 1 species